CCCCUUUAGUGUAGUAAACAAUGACUGUUUUCUACAGUCAUUGGUUCGGAGAGUGUGUGGUUUGUUUGUUUAUUUGUUUUAAAUUUAAUCAGAGAUGAAUAGCAUAGCACGCCUCUCACAGUGGUACAGCCGCACCGCGAUCUCAGAUGUUCCCCCAGUCAUUGUGAACAUGGAGGCAGCUGCAGUCAGUCACGGAACACCUUCCGCUGUAACUGCUCUGGGACCGGGUACAGCAGAGCCACCUGUCACAGCUUGACUUCAAGCAUGGCUAUGCAGUCUUUGUUCAGCAGUGGCAACAGCAGCCUCUGUAAACCCAAUAUACGAGCAGUCCUGCAAGGCUUACAAACACAAAGGCAACGUUUCGGGUUAUUAUUACAUUGAUGUGGACAGCAGCGGACCCAUCAAGCCACAGCUGUUAUACUGCAACAUGACAGGAGCUGCCCUCAGAUUCAGACCUCAGCACCACCCAGUGACAGCAGACAGAUCAUCCAACAUGUUAACUGAAAAAUGAACUGAUGAAAACAGUACAAAGGUUAAAGUACCACAUGUGCUGUAGUGAAAGCUGCAGCUGUUUUAUUGAUAAAGACAAAAAGGAGUAAUCACCCAUGUAACUGUGUCACUAUAUAUCAGCAUUAACAGGACCACAGUUUGGUGUUUCACAAAGCUGCUGAUCUCAGACCUGCACAGCUUCUGUUUUAAACACUUGAUGUACUCAGCUGCAUGAAGAGCA